rnacentral:rRNA from 1 species
CCUACGGGAGGCAGCAGUGAGGAAUAUUGGACAAUGGGCGCAAGCCUGAUCCAGCCAUGCCGCGUGCAGGAAGAAGCAUCUAUGGUGUGUAAACUGCUUUUGUACAGGAAGAAACACUCCCUCGUGAGGGAGCUUGACGGUACUGUAAGGAUAAGGACCGGCUAACUCCGUGCCAGCAGCCGCGGUAAUACGGAGGGUCCGAGCGUUAUCCGGAAUCAUUGGGUUUAAAGGGUCCGUAGGCGGUUUAAUAAGUCAGUGGUGAAAUCUGGUCGCUCAACGAUCAAACGGCCAUUGAUACUGUUAGACUUGAAUUAUAAGGAAGUAACUAGAAUAUGUAGUGUAGCGGUGAAAUGCUUAGAUAUUACAUGGAAUACCAAUUGCGAAGGCAGGUUACUACUUAUGGAUUGACGCUGAUGGACGAAAGCGUGGGGAGCGAACAGGAUUAGAUACCCUGGUAGUCCACGCCGUAAACGAUGGAUACUAGCUGUUCGGAGCAAUCUGAGUGGCUAAGCGAAAGUGAUAAGUAUCCCACCUGGGGAGUACGUUCGCAAGAAUGAAACUUAAAUGAAUUGACGG